UUGGACUUGACCUCCACCCACUUGGCCUCCACCUGGUCGAUGAAGAGCGUGGUGUUGCGGAACUGGCGGCGGAUGCGCACGCUGUGCCAGGCGCCGUCGUUAACCGGGGUGUCGGCCAGGAGCGUCGCGAGCUCAGCGCAGAAUGAGAGCUGAGCUGCAGAGCCGCCAGCGUCAGGAUCAGCUCUAGGAAGUCGCAGAAGCCCUCGUCGUCGAAGUAGAGCACGAGGCCGCGGGCGCUGCGCGUCUUGAGCUGGAAGCUCAUCUCGCUCUCGCAGCAGGCGUUCCACUUGGGGAAGCGCGUCCAUUGGCCCUCGGCGCCCGGAAACUCCAGCCCGCUGCCCAGCUCCGCCCAGCAGCCCAGGAGCAGCGAGGCACAGAAGAAAGCAGCCCCAGCUGGGCGUCCCCAUGCUCGGGGCUGGGGUGCGGCGGGGGGGUGCCGGGGCCGACAGGGUCAAAAUGGUCCUGGACACCGUGACGAAGAAAUAAGGGUCCCGAGACACAGAAAGGUUGUCCUGGAAUCAUGCUUAAAGAAACAGGUGGCUAGACUCUAACAGCUGUUCACAGUUUCUUGUAUCUCUCCUGACAGAGGACAGUGUUCUUAAAGGUAACUAUUUCAUAAAAGAUAAAAAAAAAGAAAAUGGCCAGAGACAGUGCAUCUUUGCAUUCAAAACUAUUCCAAAAGUAAACAGUAAAAAAGCUUUGACAUUUUUAAUGACUCUAGGUUUUCAUGGGACUUUCACAGCUAUGUGGCUUUAAAUUGUGCAGUUUGGAAAUUGAAAAUGAUAAUAAUUGGUAAAUACUCCACUUAAUUUUCUGUAUUUUAUUUCUAGUUACCUUGUAGGAAAUUUACUAUUUUACCUAUUUGGCCAUUUUUAAAAAUUAUUAAUUGGAUUAAGAAUAUAUUGCUUGAAAUUAUAUAAUAUAGAUGUAUAUGCUCCUAAAUAUACCUACAAAUUGUUAUAAUGAGAGUGCUAAUAUUUUCUAAAAGUUUCAUAAUGGGUAAAUGUAGGUUUUAAAAUUUCUACCUCUUUUCAUAUUGUGUCAGCUUCUCAGUGUUUAUAAUAAUCAUCUUACAGGAACUAUAUAUGUUGAAAUCACCUGGCGUGUUCACAGAAAUACGAUUACUGAGCCUAUUCCAGUACCUAUUGGUUUGGAAUUUUCUAAAGGUAGAGCCUGAGAAUCUGUGUUUUUAACCAGUAUCCCUAUGAAACUCUGAUAAACCUUGAGUACCAUUGGAGGUUAAUCCUUCUGUUUGUGUUUGAUGUAUAUAUAGUCCAUAUGUUUUCAGUUCAAUAAUUUGGUGGGAUGAUUCAGUCUCCCAAGGAUCUCUGUCCAUUUCCCACUUGACCUCUAAAUGCAGAGGAAUAUAUAACCACUCUUAUCUAUUUCAUAAAUAGCAACAUAAUAGAACAAGCAUGAUUGAUAACAAGAGUCAUUACUGUGUAAAAAUUAUAAUUUGAGUUUUUCUCUGAUGUUUUUUCUAAAUUUGUGGCUUAUAUUGUACCUUUACAGCCAUAGUAUACCAUAUCAGCAUGAGAGCUGUCACACAGACCCAAAACAGUAAUCUAUCUGGCUCACUCUUUUCCUGGGAAUGAACCUAACAGAAGAUACAGGAAGGACAUGCUCUUAAUUCUUAGAGUAUUAGCAUCAGUUACUUAUUUUCUUCCUAAAUCUAAAAGUCUUUAAAUUUUGCCAAUCUUCUUCAAUACAGGUUUUAUAAGCACACUGUCAUCCAUCAUGUAUUUAUUUAUAUGCUGUGUCAUCUCUCGUUACCCCCCAUCUCUGUCUCUCUGUCUCUAUGUAUUCAUCCGUCCAUCUCCCUAAUGAUUUUUCUAAACUUUGACCAUGCUUGCAAUCUCUGUCUCUUCCAAAUGGAUGAUUUCUGUUUUACUAAUCUACUUCACAUAUAAUUCAACACAUUUAACAUACUAAUGCCCAAACCUCCUAUGUCUAAUGAUCAAAUGAGGGUAAUUAGGGUGUCCUUUAUCUCAAACAUUUACCAUUUUUUAAUAUUGGGAAUAUUAAGAAUCUUCUAUUUUAACUUUUUGAAUUGUAUAAAAUCAACUUUUUAAUAGAAACCUUUGCACAUUUUUAUUUGCAGACACAUUAUCUUUGCACUACUAAAACUCUUAUCAGAUUACUCCCUUGAAGAGGCUUAAGAACAUAAAAGCAAUAAGAGGCUAGCUCUGGCCUACAAGAGCCUUGUGGCCCAAAAUAAUGAUGUUAAUUAAUGUCAGUCUUUCAUGAAUACUGAGGAAAUGUAAAUGACAGCAAAAGGUAGUCACCAUUUCCCCACUUCAAUUCCUUAAUUUACGUACUGGUAGCAACCCCUUGACUAUCUCUCAUCAGUAAGAGUUUCUUAUUAAGAAAAAUAUAUAAUUGUUCAUGAGGACACCUAUCAUAAGUCAUUUAUAAACAAGAUAUUUGAUCAUCAGACAUGUAGAUAAUACAGUUAGC
rnacentral:lncRNA from 1 species